rnacentral:rRNA from 1 species
CCCCUAGAUGUUCUGGGCCGCACGCGCGCUACACUGAACAGUUCAACAAGUCUUAACCUUGGCCGAUAGGUCUGGGUAAUCUUUGAACGCUGUUCGUGAUUGGGAUAGACCUUUGCAAUUAUGGGUCUUCAACGAGGAAUUCCUAGUAAACGCAAGUCAUCAGCUUGCAUUGAUUACGUCCCUGCCCUUUGUACACACCGCCCGUCGCUCCUACCGAUGGGGUGAUCCGGUGAAUGAUUCGGACUUCCGCAAGGCUGGCGACCAGUUUUUGCGGAGGAAAGUCUUGUGAACCUUAUCACUUGGAGGAAGGAGAAGUCGUAACA